rnacentral:rRNA from 1 species
UACGUAGGUGGCAAGCGUUGUUCGGAAUUACUGGGCGUAAAGGGCGCGCAGGCGGCUGCUCAAGUCAGGCGUGAAAGGCCUGGGCUCAACCCGGGAAUUGCGCUUGAGACUGGGCUGGCUUGAGUGCGGGAGAGGAUGGUGGAAUUCCCAGUGUAGAGGUGAAAUUCGUAGAUAUUGGGAAGAACACCGGUGGCGAAGGCGGCCAUCUGGACCGCAACUGACGCUGAAGCGCGAAAGCGUGGGGAGCAAACAGG